UAGGGUUUGGGUUAGGGUUAGGGUUGGAGCUAGGGUUAGAGUUAGGGUUGGAGUUAGGGUUGGAGUUAGGGUCGGAGCUAGGGUUAGGGUUGGAGUUAGGGUUGGGGUUAGGGUUAGGGUUGGAGUUAGGGUUGGAGCUAGGGUUAGGGUUAGGGUUGGCGCUUGGGUUAGGGUUAGGGUUAGUGUUGGAGUUAGGGUUGCAGCUAGGGUUAGGGUUAGGGUUGGAGCUAGGGUUAGGGUUAGGGUUGGAGUUAGGGUUAGGGUUAGGGUUAGGGUUUGAGUUAGGGUUAGGGUUGGAGCUAGGGUUAGGGUAAGGGUUAGGGUUGGAGCUAGGGUUAGGGUUAGGGUUAGGGUUUGAGCUAGGGUUAGGGUUAGGGUUAGGGUUAGGGUUGGAGUUAGGGUUAGGGUUAGGGUUGGAGUUAGGGUUGCAGCUAGGGUUAGGGUUAGGGUUAGGGUUGGAGCCAGGAUUAAGGUUAGGGUUAGGGUUGGAGUUAGGGUUAGGGUUAGGGUUGGAGCUAGGGUUAGGGUUAGGGUUAGGGUUGGAGUUAGGGUUAGGGUUAGGGUUGGAGUUAGGGUUGGAGCUAGGGUUAGGGUUGGAGCUAGGGUUAGGGUUAGGGUUAGGGUUGGAGUUGGAGUUAGGGUUGGAGCUAGGGUUAGGGUUAGGGUUAGGGUUGGAGCUAGGGUUAGGGUUAGGGUUGGAGUUAGGGUUGGAGCUAGGGUUUGGGUUAGGGUUAGGGUUAGGGUUAGGGUUAGAGUUAGGGUUGGAGUUAGGGUUGGAGUUAGGGUUGGAGCUAGGGUUAGGGUUGGAGUUAGGGUUGGGGUUAGGGUUAGGGUUGGAGUUAGGGUUGGAGCUAGGGUUAGGGUUAGGGUUGGCGCUUGGGUUAGGGUUAGGGUUAGUGUUGGAGUUAGGGUUGCAGCUAGGGUUAGGGUUAGGGUUAGGGUUGGAGCGUUAGGGUUAGGGUUAGAGUUAGGGUUAGGGUUAGGGUUAGGGUUUGAGUUAGGGUUAGGGUUGGAGCUAGGGUUAGGGUAAGGGUUAGGGUUGGAGCUAGGGUUAGGGUUAGGGUUAGGGUUUGAGCUAGGGUUAGGGUUAGGGUUAGGGUUAGGGUUGGAGUUAGGGUUAGGGUUAGGGUUAGGGUUAGGGUUGGAGUUAGGGUUGCAGCUAGGGUUAGGGUUAGGGUUAGGGUUGGAGCCAGGAUUAAGGUUAGGGUUAGGGUUGGAGUUAGGGUUAGGGUUAGGGUUGGAGCUAGGGUUAGGGUUAGGGUUAGGGUUAGGGUUUGAGUUAGGGUUGCAGCUAGGGUUAGGGUUAGGGUUAGGGUUGGAGCUAGGGUUAGGGUUGUUAUAGGGUUGGAGCUAGGGUUAGGGUUAGGGUUGGAGCUAGAGUUAGGGUUAGGGUUGGAGUUAGGGUUAGGGUUAGGGUUAUGGUUGGAGUUAGGGUUGCAGCUAGGGUUAGGGUUAGGGUUAGGGUUAGGGUUGAGCUAGGGUUAGGGUUAGGGUUGGAGCUAGGGUUAGGGUUAGGGUUAGGGUUGGAGCUAGGGUUAGGGUUAGGGUUAGGGUUGGAGUUAGGGUUGGAGCUAGGGUUAGGGUUGGAGCUAGGGUUAGGGUUAGGGUUGGAGGGUUAGGGUUAGGGUUAGGGUUAGGGUUGGAGUUAGGGUUGGAGCUAGGGUUAGGGUUAGGGUUAGAGCUAGGGUUAGGGUUAGGGCUAGGGUUGGAGUUAGGGUUGGAGCUAGGGUUAGGGUUAGGGUUAGAGCUAGGGUUAGGGUUAGGGUUAGGGUUGGAGUUAGGGUUGCAGCUAGGGUUAGGGUUAGGGUUAGGGUUAGGGUUGGAGUUAGGGUUAGGGUUAGGGUUAGGUAUAUGCAUUUUGGAGGUCGUAGAGCGCUGAAACUUGCAUGUUUGGGGUGGAAGAUUUUUCUGAGUCCAAUGAACCAACUCCCGAGUCUCUAGGACGUUCCUAAAAAAAGUUGAUUUUUUCCAAUAGGAAUGCAUGGGAAGAAAAUUUUGAGUGAAGAAAAUUCAUUGAAGUGCCGACCCAAUUUUUCACCUUCCAGAAUUGUGUUAGGAGUACGUUUCAGGCCACGGGUCUAUAGAACCUAAUUCUGGGGGAAGUUUUUUGAAAAGUUUACUUAGGGUUAGGGUUAGGGUUAGGGUUGGAGCUAGGGUUAGGGUUAGGGUUGGAGCUAGGGUUAGGGUUAGGGUUAGGGUUGGAGUUAAGGUUGGAGCUAAGGUUAGGGUUAGGGUUAGGGUUGGAGCUAGGGUUAGGGUUAGGGUUAGGGUUGGAGUUAGGGUUGGAGCUAGGGUUAGGGUUAGGGUUAGGGUUGGAGCUAGGGUUAGGGUUAGGGUUAGGGUUGGAGUUAGGGUUGGAGCUAGGGUUAGGGUUAGGGUUGGAGCUAGGGUUAGGGUUAGGGUUGGCGCUAGGGUUAGGGUUAGGGUUAGUGUUGGAGUUAGGGUUGCAGCUAGGGUUAGGGUUAGGGUUAGGGUUGGAGCUAGGGUUAGGGUUAGGGUUGGAGUUAGGGUUAGGGUUAGGGUUUGAGUUAGGGUUAGGGUUGGAGCUAGGGUUAGGGUUAGGGUUAGGGUUGGAGCUAGGGUUAGGGUUAGGGUUAGGGUUUGAGCUAGGGUUAGGGUUAGGGUUAGGGUUGGAGUUAGGGUUAGGGUUAGGGUUGGAGUUAGGGUUGCAGCUAGGGUUAGGGUUAGGGUUAGGGUUGGAGCUAGGGUUAGGGUUAGGGUUAGGGUUAGAGCUAGGGUUAGGGUUAGGGUUAGGGUUAGGGUUUGAGUUAGGGUUGCAGCUAGGGUUAGGGUUAGGGUUAGGGUUGGAGCUAGGUUUAGGGUUGUUAUAGGGUUGGAGCUAGGGUUAGGGUUAGGGUUGGGGUUGGAGCUAGAGUUAGGGUUAGGGUUGGAGUUAGGGUUAGGGUUAGGGUUAUGGUUGGAGUUAGGGUUGCAGCUAGGGUUAGGGUUAGGGUUAGGGUUGAGCUAGGGUUAGGGUUAGGGUUGGAGCUAGGGUUAGGGUUAGGGUUAGGGUUGGAGCUAGGGUUAGGGUUAGGGUUAGGGUUGGAGUUAGGGUUGGAGCUAGGGUUAGGGUUUGAGCUAGGGUUAGGGUUAGGGUUGGAGCUAGGGUUGGAGCUAGGGUUAGGAUUAGGGUUAGGGUUGGAGUUAGGGUUGGAGCUAGGGUUAGGGUUAGGGUUAGAGCUAGGGUUAGGGUUAGGGUUAGGGUUGGAGUUAGGGUUGGAGCUAGGGUUAGGGUUAGGGUUAGAGCUAGGGUUAGGGUUAGGGUUAGGGUUGGAGUUAGGGUUGGAGUUAGGGUUAGGGUUAGGGUUAGGUAUAUGCAUUUUGGAGGUCGUAGAGCGCUGAAACUUGCAUGUUUUGGGUGGAAGAUUUUUCUGAGUCCAAUGAACCAACUCCCGAGUCUCUAGGACGUUCCUAAAAAAAGUUGAUUUUUUCCAAUAGGAAUGCAUGGGAAGAAAAUUUUGAGUGAAGAAAAUUCAUUGAAGUGCCGACCCAAUUUUUCACCUUCCAGAAUUGUGUUAGGAGUACGUUUCAGGCCACGGGGAGUCUAUAGAACCUAAUUCUGGGGGAAGUUUUUUGAAAAGUUUACUUAGGGUUAGGGUUAGGGUUAGGGUUGGAGCUAGGGUUAGGGUUAGGGUUGGAGCUAGGGUUAGGGUUAGGGUUAGGGUUGGAGUUAAGGUUGGAGGUUAGGGUUAGGGUUAGGGUUGGAGCUAGGGUUAGGGUUAGGGUUAGGGUUGGAGUUAGGGUUGGAGCUAGGGUUAGGGUUAGGGUUGGAGCUAGGGUUAGGGUUAGGGUUAGGGUUGGAGUUAGGGUUGGAGCUAGGGUUAGGGUUAGGGUUGGAGCUAGGGUUAGGGUUAGGGUUGGCGCUAGGGUUAGGGUUAGGGUUAGUGUUGGAGUUAGGGUUGCAGCUAGGGUUAGGGUUAGGGUUAGGGUUGGAGCUAGGGUUAGGGUUAGGGUUGGAGUUAGGGUUAGGGUUAGGGUUUGAGUUAGGGUUAGGGUUGGAGCUAGGGUUAGGGUAAGGGUUAGGGUUGGAGCUAGGGUUAGGGUUAGGGUUAGGGUUUGAGCUAGGGUUAGGGUUAGGGUUAGGGUUGGAGUUAGGGUUAGGGUUAGGGUUGGAGUUAGGGUUGCAGCUAGGGUUAGGGUUAGGGUUAGGGUUGGAGCUAGGGUUAGGGUUAGGGUUAGGGUUAGAGCUAGGGUUAGGGUUAGGGUUAGGGUUAGGGUUUGAGUUAGGGUUGCAGCUAGGGUUAGGGUUAGGGUUAGGGUUGGAGCUAGGGUUAGGGUUGUUAUAGGGUUGGAGCUAGGGUUAGGGUUAGGGUUAGGGUUGGAGCUAGAGUUAGGGUUAGGGUUGGAGUUAGGGUUAGGGUUAGGGUUAUGGUUGGAGUUAGGGUUGCAGCUAGGGUUAGGGUUAGGGUUAGGGUUGAGCUAGGGUUAGGGUUAGGGUUGGAGCUAGGGUUAGGGUUAGGGUUAGGGUUGGAGCUAGGGUUAGGGUUAGGGUUAGGGUUGGAGUUAGGGUUGGAGCUAGGGUUAGGGUUUGAGCUAGGGUUAGGGUUAGGGUUGGAGCUAGGGUUUGAGCUAGGGUUAGGAUUAGGGUUAGGGUUGGAGUUAGGGUUGGAGCUAGGGUUAGGGUUAGGGUUAGAGCUAGGGUUAGGGUUAGGGUUAGGGUUGGAGUUAGGGUUGGAGCUAGGGUUAGGGUUAGGGUUAGAGCUAGGGUUAGGGUUAGGGUUAGGGUUGGAGUUAGGGUUGCAGCUAGGGUUAGGGUUAGGGUUGGAGCUAGGGUUAGGGUUAGGGUUGGAGUUAGGGUUAGGGUUAGGGUUAGGUAUAUGCAUUUUGGAGGUCGUAGAGUGCUGAAACUUGCAUGUUGGGGGUGGAAGAAUUUUUCUGAGUCCAAUGAACCAACUCCCGAGUCUCUAGGACGUUCCUAAAAAAAGUUGAUUUUUUCCAAUAGGAAUG